GAUGAAGAACGCAGCGAAAUGCGAUACGUAAUGUGAAUUGCAGAAUUCAGUGAAUCAUCGAAUCUUUGAACGCAUAUUGCGCUCUCUGGUAUUCCGGAGAGCAUGCUUGUUUGAGUAUCAGUAAACACCUCAACUUCCAUAUCUUUUUUGAAAUGGGAGUUGGACUUGAGUGAUCCCAACGCUUUUCCUCACCGAAAAGUGGCGGGUUACUUGAAAUGCAGGUGCAGCUGGACUUUUCUCUGAGCUAUAAGCAUAUCUAUUUAGUCUGCCAAAAAAACAGAUUAUUACCUUUGCUGCAGCUAACAUAAAGGAGAUUAGUUCUUGUGCUGACUGAUGCAGGAUUCACAAAGACGGCUUCGGCCGACUUUGUAAACUCGAUCUCAAAUCAAGUAAGACUACCCGCUGAACUUAAGCAUAUCAAUAAGCGGAGGA
rnacentral:misc_RNA from 1 species